rnacentral:misc_RNA from 1 species
UACGGAAGGUGCAAGCGUUGUUCGGAAUGACUGGGCGUAAAGCGCACGUAGGCGGCUCUGUAAGUCGGAUGUGAAAGCCCCGGGCUCAACCUGGGAACUGCAUCCGAAACUACGGAGCUUGAAUGCUUGAGAGGUUGGUGGAAUUCCAGGUGUAGGAGUGAAAUCCGUAGAUAUCUGGAGGAACACCGGAGGCGAAGGCGGCCAACUGGCAAUGCAUUGACGCUGAGGUGCGAAAGCGUGGGGAGCAAACAGG